CAGCCCUUCUGAGUAUUAAACCGUUAAUGCAAGGGGGGGGAGCGGGGGAACAGUGCCUUUCAUUUUACAGGCAAUUUCCCUGUAAGGCUCUAAAGGGUCGCAGUUGCUCAGUGCUGCAGGAAACAAAGGAAAAUUCAUCUUUUUAAAAGCUCAACAAAAAGAGUGGAGCAGGAAGAGGAAGUGGCUGAGGAAGAUUACAGGAGUACAUUGUGGAAUCGCUGAGAUAAAGAGGAGAUAGCUGGCCAUGGAAGCAUUCAUGAAUGGAUACUGUUGUGUAGUGGUUAAGGUGCUGGACUACGAUCUGGGAGACCAGGGUUCGAAUCCCCACACAGCCAUGAAGAUCACUGGGUGACCUUGGGCCAGUCACUGCCUCUCAUACUCAUGAAAACCCUAACUUCCGCUAUGUACCUACCCGUUCACUGCGCUUGAUGUCAAAGGCCCUUCUUCGGGUUCCAACGCAUACGGAGGCCCGGAGAGUAAUAACUAGAGCUAGGGCCUUCUCAGUGGUGGCCCCCGAGUUAUGGAACGCCCUCCCUGACGAGAUACGCCUGACGCCUUCUUUGUUAUC